CUUUUAUACAGGUUACCCCAGAUCUCUAUUGCUUCAGAUGAGAACAGAUAUGAACUUCUGGAAGAAGCUUGGAGGAACGGCUUGCCUUUCGCCCAGUGGGACAGGCUGACAGUGGUUGCCUGGCUGGAGGUUCAGACUCACAUUGGAUGGGGUGCAGUUGCUCAUGCAUCAGCAGAAAGGGCUUUUUGAGACAUGAUGCAGUCAUUCCUCAAGCUUACUGAUACAUCAGAACAGUCAGUACAGAAAAGCCUGUCUGAGCUCUUUUGAAAUCUGACAUUACACUCUGUUUUCUCUGUGUCAUAAAAGUGAUCUAACAGCUGUCUUUUAAGAAAAUGUUUCCCAGGUAAGUUGUAGAUUAGUUAUCGGCCACACAGUACUUCAGCGCAGUUAGAAAUUAAACACAGGGCUGCUGCUGACCUAGGCUACUAAGUCUAACAUAAGAAAAAAACCCUCAAGUGGCAAGUACAUAUCUUCUGUAGCUGUGUUCACACUUUGCUGUGACUUCUAACCAAUAUUUCCAGCAGCAGUGUGACACCAUACCAGCCCAGCCCAGUCCUCACUAGGUUAUCUGCACUGUGCUUGGAAAAAAUGAGCUGAGAAGGGUAAGAUUGUGCCCACAAGUACACCAUAGGGACUAACAUGGAAAGAGAGAUAAGC
rnacentral:lncRNA from 1 species